rnacentral:lncRNA from 1 species
UUGCAGGAGGAGCUCGAGGCGCUGAAGGAUUUUGGGGGGAGCCCCGAGGACGAGGAGGAGGAAGAGGAAGUGGAGGAGGAAAAACAGGAAGUGGAGGAGGAAAANGGAGGAGGAAGAGGAAGUGGAGGAGGAAAAACAGGAAGUGGAGGAGGAAAAACAGGAAGUGGAGGAGGAAGAGGAAGUGGAGGAGGAAGAGGAAGUGGAGGAGGAAGAGGAAGUGGAGGAAGAAAAACAGGAAGUGGAGGAGGAAGAGGAAGUGGAGGAGGAAGAGGAAGUGGAGGAAGAAAAACAGGAAGUGGAGGAGGAAGAAGAAGUGGAGGAGGAGGAAAAACAGGAAGUGGAGGAGGAGGAAGAGGAAGUGGAGGAGGAGGAAGAGGAAGUGGAGGAGGAAAAAAAAGAGAAAGAGGAAGUGGAGGAAAAACAGGAAGAAGAGGAAAAACAGGAAGAGGAAGUGGAGGAAAAACAGGAAGAGGAAGUGGAGGAAAAACAGGAAGAAGAGGAAAAACAGGAAGAGGAAGUGGAGGAAGAAAAGGAGGAAAAGGAGCCAGGUUGGUCGUUCUCAUUUCCAGUACCGAAUCCGAGGUUUUUUGCCCCAAAUUUCCGGCUGAAAUUUGAAUUUUUUUCUGCCUGAAAAUGGGUGGGAAUUGAAUGGUGGGGAAAUAAAAAAAAAAUGGAAUAAAAUGGAAUAAAAUAA